CAUCUGACGCGGACGAAAUGUAAAGGAGAAGGAUGGGGAUGCGUCUGAUUAGCUUGUUGGCGGGGUAACAGCCCACCAAGGCGACGAUCAGUAGGGGUUCUGAGAGGAAGGUCCCCCACAUUGGAACUGAGACACGGUCCAAACUCCUACGGGAGGCAGCAGUGAGGAAUAUUGGUCAAUGGGCGAGAGCUUGAACCAGCCAAGUAGCGUGCAGGAUGACGGCCCUAUGGGUUGUAAACUGCUUUUAUGCGGGGAUAAAGUGAGCCACGUGUGGCUUAUUGCAGGUACCGCAUGAAUAAGGACCGGCUAAUUCCGUGCCAGCAGCCGCGGUAAUACGGAAGGUCCGGGCGUUAUCCGGAUUUAUUGGGUUUAAAGGGAGCGUAGGCCGUCUGAUAAGCGUGUUGUGAAAUGUCGGGGCUCAACCUGGGCAUUGCAGCGCGAACUGUGAGACUUGAGUGCGCGGGAAGUAGGCGGAAUUCGUCGUGUAGCGGUGAAAUGCUUAGAUAUGACGAAGAACUCCGAUUGCGAAGGCAGCCUGCUGUAGCGCAACUGACGCUGAAGCUCGAAAGCGUGGGUAUCGAACAGGAUUAGAUACCCUGGUAGUCCACGCGGUAAACGAUGGAUGCUCGCUGUUUGCGUCUGACGUAAGCGGCCAAGCGAAAGCGUUAA
rnacentral:rRNA from 1 species